rnacentral:rRNA from 1 species
GUGGGGAAUCUUGCGCAAUGGGCGAAAGCCUGACGCAGCCAUGCCGCGUGAAUGAUGAAGGUCUUAGGAUUGUAAAAUUCUUUCACCGGGGACGAUAAUGACGGUACCCGGAGAAGAAGCCCCGGCUAACUUCGUGCCAGCAGCCGCGGUAAUACGAAGGGGGCUAGCGUUGCUCGGAAUUACUGGGCGUAAAGGGCGCGUAGGCGGACAGUUUAGUCAGAGGUGAAAGCCCAGGGCUCAACCUUGGAAUUGCCUUUGAUACUGGCUGUCUUGAGUACGGGAGAGGUGAGUGGAACUCCGAGUGUAGAGGUGAAAUUCGUAGAUAUUCGGAAGAACACCAGUGGCGAAGGCGACAUACUGGCUCAUUACUGACGCUGAGGCACGAAAGCGUGGGGAGCAAACAGGAUUAGAUACCCGGGUAGUCC